rnacentral:rRNA from 1 species
GAUCUUUAUAAAUUAAAUAAUUAAAUAAAAAUUAGUUAAAUUAUUUUUUUAGUUGUUAAUUUAUUAUAUUGGGGUAAUAAUAAAAUUUUAUAAAUUUUUAUUUAUUUUAUUCAAUUAUAGUUGUUUAAUUGAUCCAGUAUUAUUGAUUAAAAAUUUAAGUUACCUUAGGGAUAACAGCGUAAUGAUUUUUGAGAGUUCUUAUCGAUAAAAUAGUUUGU